rnacentral:rRNA from 1 species
UACGAAGGGGGCUAGCGUUGUUCGGAAUUACUGGGCGUAAAGCGCGUGUAGGCGGGUCUUUAAGUCUGGGGUGAAAUGCCAAGGCUCAACCUUGGAACUGCCUUUGAUACUGGAGACCUUGAGUCCGGGAGAGGUGAGUGGAAUUGCGAGUGUAGAGGUGAAAUUCGUAGAUAUUCGCAAGAACACCAGUGGCGAAGGCGGCUCACUGGCCCGGAACUGACGCUGAGACGCGAAAGCGUGGGGAGCAAACAGG